UACGUAGGGUGCGAGCGUUAAUCGGAAUUACUGGGCGUAAAGCGUGCGCAGGCGGUGAUGUGAGACAGGUGUGAAAUCCCCGGGCUUAACCUGGGAACUGCAUUUGUGACUGCAUCGCUGGAGUGCGGCAGAGAGGGAUGCGGAAUUCCAGGUGUAGCGGUGAAAUGCGUAGAUAUCUGGAGGAACACCGGUGGCGAAGGCGGCAUCCUGGACCAAUACUGACGCUGAGGAGCGAAAGCCAGGGGAGCAAACGGG
rnacentral:rRNA from 1 species